GAAGCUCUUCGAGCAGUGGCUCGCCCUACCCGACGCUAACCGGCUGGUACCUUCUUUCUUGUUAUGCACAGAUAAUCUUUCACAACCUGAUGUGGUUUGUGCUGGUGUAGAUUUGUUAGUCAUCAAUUCCUAUUUGCACAUGCCAUUUCAUUAUUUUAUGCCUGGUAGAACUCAUAAUUCUUUUUUCCUAAUUUGGUAGUUAAUUAGGUAGUACUGGUAAAGGAAAAUAAGGAUAAUACCAUGAAAUGGUUGGAUAAGUAGGAGUGAUAUUUGGCCAUGGGAAAGGGAUCUUGUAGCAAUAGACGUGGAACUUGGUAAACGAGUUUUAUAUAUGAGGUAUUGAGGCUUUGGAGCAGGAGCAGAAAUGGUGUCUUGCUAUUGAAAAUUUUCUUUGAAUGCAGUACUGUUAUAAUCUCUUAUAGUUAACCUGUGCUGUUGUUGAGUUUCGGCAGUAAUGAGAUUGCUAUUGUGACAAUGAAGUAAGUCUCUGGAAAAUUAUAGCUAUGGCAUAUGGAUCUUCUAACUCUUCAUCCCAUGUCUGCUCCCAUAUUU
rnacentral:misc_RNA from 1 species